rnacentral:rRNA from 1 species
UACGUAGGGAGCAAGCGUUGUCCGGAAUCAUUGGGCGUAAAGCGCGCGUAGGCGGCCCUGUAAGUCCGUUGUGAAAGUCAAAGGCUCAACCUUUGAAAGCCGGUGGAUACUGUCGAGCUCGAGUCCGGAAGAGGCGAGUGGAAUUCCUGGUGUAGCAGUGAAAUGCGUAGAUAUCGUAAGGAAGACCAGUGGCGAAGGCGAAUCUCUGGACAGUUACUGACACUGAGGCACGAAGGCCAGGGGAGCAAACGGG